AUUGAACGCUGGCGGCAUGCUUUACACAUGCAAGUCGAACGGCAGCACGGGCUUCGGCCUGGUGGCGAGUGGCGAACGGGUGAGUAAUAUAUCGGAACGUACCCAGAAGUGGGGGAUAACGUAGCGAAAGUUACGCUAAUACCGCAUACGAUCUAUGGAUGAAAGCAGGGGACCGCAAGGCCUUGUGCUCCUGGAGCGGCCGAUAUCUGAUUAGCUAGUUGGUGAGGUAAAGGCUCACCAAGGCGACGAUCAGUAGCUGGUCUGAGAGGACGACCAGCCACACCGGAACUGAGACACGGUCCAGACUCCUACGGGAGGCAGCAGUGGGGAAUUUUGGACAAUGGGCGCAAGCCUGAUCCAGCAAUGCCGCGUGAGUGAAGAAGGCCUUCGGGUUGUAAAGCUCUUUUGUCAGGGAAGAAACGGUAGAGGCUAAUAUCCUUUGCUAAUGACGGUACCUGAAGAAUAAGCACCGGCUAACUACGUG
rnacentral:rRNA from 1 species